CUGCAGCCCAAGUGGUGAUCAUUAUUAUUGGGCCUAAAACGUCCGUAGCCUGUUUAGUAAAUGCCUGGGUAAAUCGUGUAGCUUAACUAUACGAAUUCCGGGUAGACUGCUAAACUUGAGACCGGGAGAGGCUAGAGGUACUCCUGGGGUAGAGGUGAAAUUCUGUAAUCCUAGGGGGACCACCAGUGGCGAAGGCGUCUAGCUAGAACGGGUCUGACGGUGAGGGACGAAGCCCUGGGGCACAAACCGGAUUAGAGACCCGAGUAGUCC
rnacentral:rRNA from 1 species